rnacentral:tRNA from 1 species
GGGGCUGUAGCCGAAGAGGAAGAGCACCACCCACACUACUAGGUGGAGGUCGUAGGUUCGAACCCUAUCAGUCCCA